CGUUCUCACGGUCUCAGUGAGGAAGACAGCACAGGGAAUGAAUGGGGCACUGAUCUCACCAUGAUCGCCUGCAGGAGUCUCGCCCAGGCUAUGGUGGUAGUGUCCCUGGGUGCCACAUAGCUCGGAGAGCAAGGUUGCUGCCACACCUUACUGCCCUCCAUGGAGGAACACCUUUUCUCUUUGGUGAGUAUACAGAGGGAAGGGCCUUGACUCUAAAGACUUGGGGAGCAAAGUUAAAGAGCUUUCAAGCUAGUUCUUUCAUUCCCCUUAGAGCCACAGAAUGCCAUGUGGCACCAAGGUCCUUGUUCUCACAGGUGAGCACCAAGGUGAAACCAGGAAUAUUAAGCACGCAGGGUUGUCUCUCCAAAGGGAGAGAUGUAUAACUGUUUUCCACCCAGAAGGCUGGGAGUGGAGGUGUUUAAUAUUCUGCUGACCUUUGUGCUAUCUGUAUGACCAAGACCAUGCCAGAUCCUCCCCCAGAUCCUUAUGUAAUCAAUCAGCGGUGUGGUGGUGAUUCAUGCUUUUAAUUCCAGCUUUUGUAUGGCAGAGGCAGAUGGAUCUCUGAGUUUGAGGCUAGCCUGGUCUACAGAGUGAGUCCAGGAUAGUCAGAGCUACACAGAGAAACUUCCUGUCUUGAAAAACCAAAAACAAAUAAAUAAAAUUUUAAAAAAACUGUCUCGUGUAGUCAAUCUAUAAAACCCAUCUUUAUGUUGAUGCCACGUGUACUUUUUUGUAUUAUUUAUCACCAGAAAAUUGUUUCACCAAAUUAUGCUGUGCUUAAAUAUGCCUAAAAUAAACUACCUGGUGUCAGACUCUUGAAGUUUGAACCAACAAUUUGCCGGGCGAUGGUGGCGCUCGCCUUUAAUCCCAGCACUUUGGGAGGCAGAGACAGGUGGAUCUUUGAGUUAGAGGCCAGCCUGGUCUACAGAGUGAGUCCAGGAUAGCCAGGAUUACACAGAGAAACCCUGUCUCAAAAAUAAAAUAAAAUAAAAUAAAAUAAAAUAAAAUAAAAGUUUGAACCAACACUGGCUAUUGAGUCAUGUUGAACUAGACUUUUGCCUCAUAUGGAUCAUUACCCUCAUGGCGGUGGUGGCAUUAGCAUGGCCUGGCUACCAACGUGGAACUCAUCAGUGGUGGUGUGUACACAGCUGGAGACCAACUCAAUUCUUGGAGAAGGUAAGAUUUUUCUUUUAAUAGAAUAAGGGCUAGGAGUUUCAGCCUCUCACCCAAGAAGUCACAACUGUAAGUAAGAUAGUAAAAUAAGCUUGGAUUCUUCUCAGUCCUCUGAGACAAAGCAUUUGAUACAAUUAUUGAGAUGUUUGUUAAGAUCCGAAGGAACAAGAUAUGCAGAGCAAUAGCUCUGCAGCUUGGUACAAGUAUCUAUAAAAUUCAGUCCUUGGCUUUUUGAACAAUGAACUAUUGAUGUUGAACAUUGGAAAUAAAGCCAGGUGGUGGUGGUGGUCUACAGAGAAAAAAAAAAAAACCAAAAAGAAAAUUGGAAAUGGAGAGGAGCUAAUGCAAAAAGGGCUCAUGAAAGAGAAGAUAAAAUUCCCGUCAAUUAUUUUGCAAGCUGUGGUCAGUAAUAUAUUGCCCUCAGGAGGAUCAUUGAGAAAAGAAUUUUUGUUUUUUCUGCAGGCCAUGUGGAUUCUACUACAACUCUGGUUUCCUGGAGGUAACCCAAACAGGCUCAAUCAUGGCAUGCGCAAUCUGAUGGAACAGGCAUGCAUCCAUCUAGUGAUAUACUCACAGUCUUAGCAAAAUAAGGAAUUUUAUCUUGUCUUUCCAUUGAAAAAUGGAGACUUUCUCACUUCAGGCCUUUUAGGCACUGAGAGACCAAAUACCACCCAGAUUCCUUUGUAUUUAUGACUACUAAAAUUUCACUUUUUAAAUUUGUGUUUUGGACAACAGAACAAAAAAUUAAAAAUAGCAAUGUGAACACCCUUAAUGUGGAUUUAAAGUGAGAAAACAGGGCAAAUUGGAAUCAGGAAAAUGUCUUAGAAUAUUUCUUCUGGAUAAUAUGGUGGCCAAGGACUGAAAACAUCAUCUCAUGUUUCUCAAAUUUCCCUGGAGGGCAGAAGGGGUUAAACCAGGAAUGCAAACAAUCUGAGUUACAUUGUUUUUUGAGUUUUCACCUAAAAUUCUUUUUGGUGCAGACUGAGAAUCUGAAAUGUGGUAAGAACUAGAGCAUUCUGGGAAGUUCUUCCACCGUGGAACUGGUGGUCUUUGAUGUUGCUCACAUUUUAGCUAGAUAUGUACGUUCAUGCUUACAUGGGAAAAAUCCAAUUGUUUUCUCUUUCAGAAUUUUCUGUAAUUGUUUCUCAGGUACUUCUGAAUAUCCUAUAGGGGCAGUCUUCUCCAACACAAUAUUAAAAUUUGCCUAAAAAAUUUAAAGAUCCCAAAUCUUACAUAAAUAGCCUUAGGUUCAAAUCUUUAAAAGUUAAUGGUCAUUGUGAAUUAAGUAAGUUCUACAUCUGUUUUAGUUUUGUGCUUGCCCUUGGUCUGACAUAAAUGAUCAGACUCUUGAGCAGGGAGGAAGUUAGAGGAGGCUCAUGAGAGCCUAUCCUCUAUUGAAGGCUUAGUUUACACAGAAUUCUAGUGCAAAAUUGUAGCAAGUGGUUCUCAUAUCAGCUUGACAUCUAGAGCUAUGGCUGUCUGUGUCUAGGGCCUUCUCCACAGUCAGGUGUGCAGAGACCACCAAAGACAUGCACAGUACCUCUCCCUAGUCACCUUCAGAGCACAGUCUCAGACAGGACAUGGGGCCCUGGGAGGCUCCAGGAAAAUGCCAUUGUGUUAUAUCUAGAAUUUGAUUUUGUCAAAUAGGUCUUUAUACAUUUCCUUUCUAGGACUGCCAUUACAACUAAAAACUGAUAAUAGACAUGCUUAUACUAGCAAACACUUUAAAUUUUUACAAUUUAUGGAAUAGUAAUCACAUUACUGAAAUCCCUUAUAAUUGACAGAGUCAAACUAUUGUAAAACAACACCAUCAAAUACUGAUACACAAAUUUAAAUCCCCAUGAACUAUGCUACAUUUAGCUAAACUAACUUUAAUUUUUUUCACUUUAAAAGGUAAUGCUUUUUUUUAAAAAAGGUAUUUUUCCCUAAAGAAGAUACAACCUAAAGUAUAUGUUUUAAAAAAAUGUAAAAACUAAUCAAUAGAAAGGGCCCGAUGGUCUAACAUCGAGGCAAGGUUAUGCUUAUAUCUUACAGAAAAGCAAUGAAGUCCCAGAUGGCUCCUGCCCUGACACAUCCAACAAGGACAGCAUCCCAGAGACCACCAGACAAACAAAGUGUCUAAAGAUAGACGACAGAUCCAUCAAAAGGAGAUGUCCCAAGAGGAAGAGUAAGCUGAUAAGUUGGGGAGACAUCAAGACUUUAACUUGCAAGCCAAGACUUUGAGGAAACAACAAGGACAUACUGUUACUGAUCUCAAAAAUUAUGCUAUUAUGUAAACUGACUAUAUUUCAUGUUAAUGCUCAGCUUGUCACUGCAGAAUCCAAAUGUGUUUUGCCAGGGGAAAGAAAAGGCACACUUGUAAUAGGAGAGUAUGAUGUUGUUCUACCACGAUAAAAAACGGUUUUAAUCCUUUGGGACCAUUUGUCUAGACAAAAUAUAGUAUACAAAUAACUUAGUUGCACAAAUGGGAGAUAUUUUGGUUGGACUAAUCUAACUGAUCAAUCCAAAUGUAAUAAUACAAAUUUUAGCAUAAUUAGGUACUCUUUAGAAGGCUCUAAUAGUAGAAAUUAUAAUUGUAUGAAGAUGAAAAAGGAUUUCUGAUGUAUUGGUUACUAAAGUUGAACCA